CGGUACGUACUGGCAUUGUUGGUUUUCUCCCUUCUGACGAACCAUGAUGUCAUUUAUUUGGUGUUGUGGGGAAUCAGGACUGUUACUUUGAAAAAAUUAGAGUGUUUAAAGCAGGCUCACGCUUGAAUACAUUAGCAUGGAAUAAUGAAAUAGGACGUUUGAUUCUAUUUUGUUGGUUUCUAGGAUCGACGUAAUGAUUAAUAGGGAUAGUUGGGGGCAUUAGUAUUCAAUUGUCAGAGGUGAAAUUCUUGGAUUUAUUGAAGACUAACUACUGCGAAAGCAUUUGCCAAGGAUGUUUUCAUUAAUCAAGAACGAAAGUUAGGGGAUCGAAGACGAUCAGAUACCGUCGUAGUCUUAACCAUAAACUAUGCCGACUAGGGAUCGGAUGAUGCUAAUUUUUUAAUGACUCAUUCGGCGCCUUACG
rnacentral:rRNA from 1 species